CAGGAUGAACUCGCUGUAGUAUUCUUCAAAGAGAUAACUUUACAGGAGGGCCAUUUCACCUAUGAGCAUAACCUCCAGCUGAGGAGCACAUCAGUAGAAAAAAACAAUCUCUUCCUGACACUAUCAGUCCAGAGAAUGGCAAGAAUUAGUAGCUGGUCAUAUGCAGAAUAUUGUAUACUGGACACCACCAGCACAAACCUGCACCACUACCACUGCUCUCAGUUAAGUGAUAAAACGCGGUGGUCCCUAACCUGUGGAUGAAUCCUUAAUCAACAAUUGGACACAAAAUCCACUGGAAGGUCAUAACAUUACUUACAGCAGUAAAACAAAGGACCACAUUUCUAGAGGCACACAGUGCUAUUCCUGAUCCUAACACUUUCAUUCCGGAUUUUUCCAGGCAACCGGAGCACUUGGAAAGCUGAACUAAUUUAUGCAGAGUAAAGCUGCGAGGCUUGUUAUGGGCAAAUUUACUUGAUUUUGCACUGCUGACUUUGAAGUUAAUCUGGAAGAGUAUUGUCUUCAGCUCUCGAAUGCUAAUACUGGAGAUAAAAACGUGAGAAUUGAUCGCUUAGUAUAAACUUCAGUUUCAUCUUCAUCACAUUGCAGGGAAAAGAGAGUGUGGCAGAAGAUAUUGGUUGUUCCCAGGCAGCUGCAUGUAAAUGUGGUGCAUGUUAAAACAAUAUAAGAAGGUUAUAAGAAAAAAAAUAUACAGGUUAAUCAAGGAAGAUAUCAACGUGUCAGGAUGAAAAACCUAAAGCAAACUGAUUUGAAUAUAGAAGAUGUAAAACAAAACAUAUGUAAAAUGCAUCAUUGGAAACAAGAGUCCAUAUUUGUGCCUGAACUGAAAGAAAUUGGCUGAAUGAUAUAAGGUUUACAAAUAGAAAAGUCAAACAACAACCAGCACGAACAUCUAAACAGAACAAAAUAAGGUUGAACAAGAGUGAUUAUAAAGUUGAUUAUUGAUAUUCAGUGAUUAAUAUCUGCACUGAUAUUCCCGACCACCUCAUGAAUAUUCAUAGGACCCCUUCAUCCAUGUGAGUGUGAGGUGGGCGGGGAAUAUCAGUGCAGAGGGGAUCUCGGUAGUGAAGCUUGAUAUACGGGUUCCGGACCUUUUUCCAAACUAGCAAUGUAGGAUAAGGCAACUGGUAUCUCCAGAACCGAACCACGAAUCCAGAUAAGUGAUACCUCACCCCACAUCACGGUGGGAAGCUCUCUAUACCCAGUGACUGCCAUCUGCUUUCUGAUCAUAAAUAAUAUUUGAGUUAUGGAUUACUUCACAUUAGCUCUUUGCAGUUUCCUGAUAUAUUACACUCCAGUUCACAUUAGAUAUUUUACCACUUGUCUCUAUUCAGCUAUCACACACAUACAGAGAUGGCGCUUGGGAACCAGAAUUAAUUCACUUGU